CAUGGCGGCCAUGUCAAGUGGUCGUGUGGCCCAGGAAGAUUACUCAAUUCAAUCGACUUAAUUCUUCUAAAAAGGCUGGUGGUGGGAAAUUAUUUAAGACAUCAGGUUCCCGGCGAUGACAAUGAUUUGUUCGCAUUUAACACGGAAUAUGGGAACUGGAACAUGAAGUGGAUCAGCUGCAGCAAUCAGGACAUGACCAUCAUCUUCAAAGAGUUGUUGUUUUACUUAAUUGCAAUCCAGCCUUUGGGUGAACCAGGUAAACAAAAUUCUUGUUUAAGCCAAGUUCAGUGCUAUAUUCACCUGAGACAUGCACUCUAUCUAAAGAACCAUGCUUGAU